rnacentral:tRNA from 1 species
UCAGAACUGAAGAUGUUUCUGGCCAGAGAGUUUGAUUCAUUAAAAGAACACUAAUAGCAACAUAAACUCAUGUGCCUUUACACACACAAAAAUAAUGUUUCCUGAUUCGUAACCCAUGUGGCUGAGAGGGUCUCUUCUUUGUGUUAAGAAGCUAGAAAAGCUCACUUGAGAUCAUCUUAAUGUUCACUUAAUUAAUAAUUGAGAUCCUAUUAAUCCAGAAAAGAGCCAUUUGAGGAUUUUUGCAGACAUUGCAGGUAUGGACUAGGGCUCUGUGUAUCUUCUCACAAUAUUGGAGGAUUUUAUGUGUACAAAGGCCUACUAGGAAUCUUCCGCCCUUGCCUCCUUCUCCCUCACACACCUACAGCUCUGCUUUCCCAAGUAAAAUAUUGGAGUUCCUGCUGUGGCUCAGUGGUAACAAACCCAACUAGUGUCCAUGAGGAUGCAGGUUUGAUCCCUGGCCUUGCUCAGUGGGGUUAAGGAUCUGGUGUUGCUGCAAGCUGAGGCAUAGGUAGCAGACACAGCUCAGAUCUGGCGCUGCUGUGGCGUAGGCCGGCAGGCAGCUACAACUCUGAUUCAACCCCUAGCCUGGGAAUUUCCAUACGCCACAGGAGCAGCCAUAAGAAGGAAAAACAAAAAAUCUGUGUUAAGACCUCAGGAAGUUUUAAGGUGUUGCUUCAUAGACCCUUUCAAGCAUACAAAGACCUGCAAACUAUAAGCUCAGACAGUAGCUUUGCAGAGACUAAGGCAGAGAAGGGCUAAAUGAGAUUUGUGGGUAUGGUUUUGCCUAAUGGAGUGGGUCAUAAAUUGAUUCUUAAGAAGCCUGCAAUGUUUUUUCCUUAAAGAACUAUGAUGAACUUAAAUCAUAAGGGACAUCAGGCCUUCGAAUUCCCAAAGGGCAGGAAGCAGUCUAAGAGAGCAACUCAGCUGCAAAGAUGGGCUACUUUUAGUGGAAAAGGAAAAGUGCCCAAAGGGUAGACUCAAGAGCAGAUAUGGUGAAUGACUUCCAAGAAACAGAACUGAGUCCUCAUCAGGGAACUGGCAGCACACACUCAGGAGGAUUGCAGAACUGCUGUGAGCCAGGGACUACUCUGGGCUCCCCACUUUUCUCCCUUUUGAGCCUAAGUGUCUAUACCUUGACCCACUGCUGUAUUUUGGGUAUGGUGGGGAGAUGGCUUGUCUCUUGAGUCACAGGUGUUCAGAUUGGGUGGAGCUACCCUAGGGGAUAGUAGCCAGGGAGCCUCAGCCACAUGCUACCAUAGGAUCUGGAAGCAUGGAUCGAUGUCGGGAGACAUGUUUCUACAAUAUUUUCUUAGCCACUCUGUUUCUAUUUUCUUUGCUAAAACCUCCAUCUUGUCCUGCCUUACUUUACCCCAUCUUCCUGCUGGAAAAACAGUCACAGUGCUGGUAAAUAAAUUAAGCUUAAGAACAAAGACCUAAAGGCAUAAGUUAUUCUUAGGGUCAGCUGAAUGAGGACAGGGAUGCCGGACCUGUGCAGAUGGGCACGCCUGUGCAGAUGGGCAGGGCGUCUGCACAACAUAUGUCCUAUCAAAAUAAGAGAAAGAGGAACCUCAUGGCCCCAAGUGGUUUAUGAAUGGUCAUUAGCAGAAUAUGCAUCAGCAAGGAGAACCAAGGUGCAAACCUAGGCACCCCAGGUUGCCGCAGAUAGACAUGCCCUUUGUGGAAGCACAAUGGUGAUUCUUGAGAUGCUAUGCACAGAUAGCCAAGCUUCCCCAAAUGCUAAUGAUUGUUAAAUGCCUAAAGGUCAGAAUAAAAGCUUAAUCAUCUACCAGCUGUGUGACUUCUAAAAUAAUAAAAGAACUUCUAAAAUAAUACAAAAAACUAUAUCCUACACCUAUAACCCCCUCCUCACUUGACGUCAUCCUAAAGAGCACAGUAAAAGCAGUGUGGUUUCUUGAGGCAGCACUCUUGGUCCCUGAGACCUUGAGUCCCCCAGUUCCCACCUUUACUUAAGAUAAAUGUCUCUGUAUCUUGUUUUAUGUUAACUUUUCCUUAAGUUUCACGGCACCCGUUCUUCCGCCCUCACCUGCUGAGCUGUCUCGGCAGAUGGAGAGGAGGGGGAGUGAGUAUAUCUUACAUGUAGGGGGAAAUGCAAAGAAUUCAUGUCCCAUGGGCCACCUGUGAAGUCUUAAAACAUGCCUGUGAAUUCGUUGAUGUUCUUCCCAACAAAAGAUAGAGCCCAAUUCCCCUUCCCUUGAAAGGGGCUUGCUUCUAACAAAUAGAAUAUGGCAGAAGGGAUCCUGUUUGACUUCUCAGACAAGCUCACAAAAGGGGAGGCAGUUUUGCCUUGUUUCUUUUCUCUUGCCAGGUUUGCUUUGGAAUCCACUGACCCCUGUGGGAGGUGGGCCAGCAGCCACCAGGGAGGGCAGGGUGGAGGUGUUCUGGCCACAGUCCAGCUGCGGUCCCAGCCCAGGGCCACUCUUACCCGGCAACCUGUGAGUAGGAAGGUGAGUUUUCAGAUGUGGUCCCAGCGCAGAGAUGCCACGGGGAGCAAAGACAAACUGUCCUUGCCAACCCCAGCCAAAUUAUAAAUUCAUGAGGAAAAUGAAUGUAAUCAUUGAUUUAAGGCACUACUUUUUGGAGUGGUUUGUUAUGUGGCAACAGAUUAACUGGAUGUUGAUGUGCAAAUACCUGCUAGAAAUAUCCCCAUAUGCAAAUGCAACCUUGUAACAGUCACAAGAUUUUAGGCAUUAUAAAUUAUAAUUUCUUUAUGGUUCCCAGAUUUAUCACUUACUAAUUGUGGGACCUUUAGUAAGUCAGUCUCUUGAACUUCAGCGUCUGCAACUAUAAAAUGGAGAUGAAAGUACUUGUCUUAAAAAAAAUGAUUUAUGUUGUGAGAUAACGGAUGUUAGCUAAAAAAAAGUCAUUUAUGAAUAUUAUCUAGCAACGAGCAAAAGGAUGAUGUAUUGGAUUCACAUGAUUACAAAGAUAAAAAUGUACAGAAAUAGAUGGAUUAGGUUAGUGGAAUUAAAAAUAUUUUUUUCCUUCUAUUUUCCAGAUUUCCUUAAAAUGAUUUACUUUAGUAAUAAAAAAUUAAAAAGUGUUCCCCAAAAUCCCAUUGCACACUCCCAGCCCAAACCCAGGGAAUAAGUCAAUGGUUAUUUCUUCUCAGUCUCCCUGCAGGUUAAACCAGGUAAAUGGUUUGGAAGAGAAACAGUGAUGAAACAGCUUCCUAUCUCUUGGAAUCUGGGGGUCAAUACAGGAUUGACCCCAGAACCCAGAUUACUUGCCUCCCCAGCUAGCACACUAUUUCUUCCACCUGUAACCUCACAGUACUAGUUUUCACCUGUAUAGGCUAAGCCACACGAAAUGCCUUUAUUUAAAUAACUGGAAGUCUCAGCCAUCUGAUCUUAGGAGGCAUAUAAUCCAGUGAUUAGCAGAGUCAGUCAAAAUGCAUGCAUUGGAAACCUGCCUCCAGCACGUAUUAUCUGGGGUUUUUGUAGAUGUGAAUAAUGAUACUGGGGGGAGAUCAUCCUGGAUUACAAGGGUGGACCCUCUAUCCAAAGACACAGACACACGCAGGUCAGGGGAAGAGAGAAGUUAUGUAGCCACAAACCAGGCAAAGUCUGGAGCCACAGAAGCAGGGAGAAGUGGGAACGGAGUCUCUCUUAGAUCCCAGAGGAAGGACAGCCCUGAGGACAACUUCUAGCCCUCUGAACUGCGAUAAUACAUUUCUGUUGUUUUAAGACACCAAGUUUGUGAUGAUUCAUUAUGGCAGCCCUACGAAUAUAAUGCAGUGGAAGAAUCUUGCAAAUCACAAGGAUGAAGGGAAAAAAUUCAAAUGACAAGAAAAAAACCAUUUAAAGCUUUAAAAACAUGUAAUGGAUACUUUGUAUUAUUUAUAGAUAUAUACAUAUUGACAAAAAGCAUAAAGAAAAUGGGAGGGAAUUCCCUGGUGGUCUCAUGGUUAGGAUUUGGUGCUUUCACCACUGCAGCCUAGGUUCAAUCCCCAGUCUGGGAACUGAGAUCCCACACCAACCCACUACACACUGUGG